CCCUAGCGCCCCUUGGAAGCCAAGAAUAUGAGGAAGUCUUCUUCCUUCGCGCCUUCUUCUUCCUUACGCUCCAGGGCAGCCUGACAGAGCCGCUCGAAGGCUCUGCUGGCCGCGGCUAGCCGGUUUACCCAUUCCACUGGACCCAGCCACCACCCACUCCUGCUGUCUGAGGCUACAGGAGACCAGAGCCAUUGACUUUUAUUUUUAAAAUGAAGAUCUCUUUUACUUGAAGGAACUUAAGAAUUUUGGCAUUCAAAUAGGGGCUGGAAGACUUGAAAGCAGUAGAAAUUUCACCACAGGUGAUAGGAAAGGAUGAUCACGAAAUGAAUAUCUCCUGACUUGCACACCUAGUGAGCAGAGCCAGGAAGGACCUCCUUCACCUUAGCAUUUGGAACAGGCUGCAAAGUUCAUUCUUCCUCAUAGCAGCCCCUGCAUUCAGUUUGGUUUAGUUGUUUUAUGUGGUUUCUAGCCUGAUUUUUUUUUUCAGGGUGCAGCAGAAGUCUCAGGUAGCUGAGAAGUUCAUGGAAUCUUCUUAUUUGCUACACCUUUCACUACUGCUUGUGAUAUAGUGCAGGGUUGGGAUGUGCAGACAUUUCUCAAGUGCACUGUGUACCUACACAGCAUGCUGCAAUUUGGCUACUGAAGUCAAGAGAAACUGGUUUGAACAACUACUGAGUGUAACAUAGGAAGCGCAUUUCAUUUGAUAACAGGAACACAGCUUUUGUGCUAAUAAAAUGCUUUGAAAAUUAGUGUGUGGUCUUUAGUAAUUAGCAUAUACAUUUUAGUUAUCCAUUGGUUCAUAACAAACGGACUAAAUAGGUACCCCACUGAGUCAUUUAUCUAAAUGAAAAGUUUGGUUAAAUUGUAGUUGUAGGCAUUGAUCAAAGCUAAUGGGAAAAAGAGAUUAAGAUGAAAAUCAUGGGAUUAAAUUUUUAAUUAGUUUG
rnacentral:lncRNA from 1 species